rnacentral:tRNA from 1 species
GCGGGAGUGAUGAAACUGGUAGACAUGCGAGAUUUAGGAUCUCGUGCUUCACGGCGUGGGGGUUCGAGUCCCUCCUCCCGCAC